UACGUAGGGAGCAAGCGUUGUCCGGAAUCAUUGGGCGUAAAGCGCGCGUAGGCGGCCCCGUAAGUCCGCUGUGAAAGUCAAAGGCUCAACCUUUGAAAGCCGGUGGAUACUGUGGGGCUAGAGUACGGAAGAGGCGAGUGGAAUUCCUGGUGUAGCGGUGGAAUGCGCAGAUAUCAGGAGGAACACCAAUAGCGAAGGCAGCUCGCUGGGACGUUACUGACGCUGAGGCGCGAAAGCAUGGGGAGCGAACAGG
rnacentral:rRNA from 1 species